rnacentral:rRNA from 1 species
UAACGCGUGGGUAACCUGCCUUAUACAGGGGGAGUAACAGUCAGAAAUGGCUGCUAAUACCGCAUAAGCGCACAGAGCUGCAUGGCUCAGUGUGAAAAACUCCGGUGGUAUAAGAUGGACCCGCGUUGGAUUAGCUAGUUGGUGGGGUAACGGCCCACCAAGGCGACGAUCCAUAGCCGGCCUGAGAGGGUGAACGGCCACAUUGGGACUGAGACACGGCCCAGACUCCUACGGGAGGCAGCAUG